rnacentral:rRNA from 1 species
CCUACGGGAGGCUGCAGUCGAGGAUCUUCGGCAAUGGGGGCAACCCUGACCGAGCGAUGCCGCGUGCGGGACGAAGGCCUUCGGGUUGUAAACCGCUGUCGAGGGGGAGGAAGCCGCAAGGUUGACCCAUCCCUGGAGGAAGCUCGGGCUAAGUUCGUGCCAGCAGCCGCGGUAAGACGAACCGAGCGAACGUUGUUCGGAAUCACUGGGCUUAAAGGGCGCGUAGGCGGGCCGGAUGGUCCGGGGUGAAAUCCUCCCGCUCAACGGGAGAACGG